rnacentral:other from 1 species
UUUAUCCUACCUUGUGCGUAUAGAUUAUCUUGGUUUUGAUCCUAUUGAUGUUUAGGGAACCGAUCUGACCGAUUUAGUACGGCAGGCCCUCAAGUCUGGGGAAGCCGGAAGGAUAAGUCUAGGUGCCCACCUGCGAGAGCAGGGUCAGAAACCUAGAGUCUUACGGCAAGGCGGGGGGAUG